rnacentral:rRNA from 1 species
GUGGGGAAUAUUCCGCAAUGGACGAAAGUCUGACGGAGCAACGCCGCGUGAGUGAUGAAGGUUUUCGGACUGUAAAGCUCUGUUGUUUAGGACGAAAGUGCCUGUUGCAAAUAGUUACAGGUAUUGACGGUACUGAACGAGGAAGCCACGGCUAACUACGUGCCAGCAGCCGCGGUAAUACGUAGGUGGCAAGCGUUGUCCGGAAUUAUUGGGCGUAAAGAGCAUGUAGGCGGGAAUCUAAGUCUGUUGUGAAAAUGCGGGGCUCAACCCCGUAUUGCGAUGGAAACUGGGUUGCUUGAGUGCAGGAGAGGAAAGGGGAAUUCCCAGUGUAGCGGUGAAAUGCGUAGAUAUUGGGAGGAACACCAGUGGCGAAGGCGCCUUUCUGGACUGUGUCUGACGCUGAGAUGCGAAAGCCAGGGUAGCGAACGGGAUUAGAUACCCCAGUAGUCC